AUUGAACGCUGGCGGCAGGCCUAACACAUGCAAGUCGAGCGGAUGAAGGGAGCUUGCUCCUGGAUUCAGCGGCGGACGGGUGAGUAAUGCCUAGGAAUCUGCCUGGUAGUGGGGAUAACGUCCGGAAACGGGCGCCAAUUCCGCAUACGUCCCGAGGGAGAAAGUGGGGGAAUCUCGGACCCUACGCCAUCAGAUGAGCCUAGGUCGGAUUAGCUAGUUGGUGGGGUAAAGGCCUACCAAGGCGACGAUCCGUAACUGGUCUGAGAGGAUGAUCAGUCACACUGGAACUGAGACACGGUCCAGACUCCUACGGGAGGCAGCAGUGGGGAAUAUUGUACAAUGGGCGAAAGCCUGAUCCAGCCAUGCCGCGUGUGUGAAGAAGGUCUUCGGAUUGUAAAGCACUUUAAGUUGGGAGGAAGGGCAGUAAGUUAAUACCUUGCUGUUUUGACGUUACCAACAGAAUAAGCACCGGCUAACUUCGUG
rnacentral:rRNA from 1 species